CAGUGUGCUAUCAGAGAGAUGAUCCUCGAGCAUUUCCAACAAGUCAGCUUGUUCACGGGAGCAUUACGUGAACGUGUGACGAUAACAGCGGGCUAUAUGAUGCAGGAGGGAGGUACUGUAAGAUCCAGCUCUGCUCUCAACUGAUGCAGGCCUUUUCAAAGUAUGAAACGCCAACCCAUGGAGAGGCAAAAAAAUCGCACAGGGUACGACUGAGACAAAGCUCGAGUGAACCAAGAGAUCUCAAAAUCACACACCCGCUUCACUGGGUGAUAUCAGUAUACGGCUCAAGCCCCUGGAGAGGUGAUGAAGUGAUGUAGAAACAACGUUAACACCCUAAUUGUCAACACACUCCUUGAGCAGGUACCACCCUCAACCUCUUCACUGACCAGCUCUUCAUCCUCUCUCUGAAUGCAAUGCAACAAUGGAGAAGAGCAAGGAAGAGGGAGGAAGAUUGCCUCGCUAUUCAGGUAUCUACUGAUGGUACACAAGCUCAAGGAUAGCAAAUCCAAUUCAGAGAACAAAAGUGUGAGAGAGGCUACAAACCCACUUGCAAGAUAUUUUGCACAUAGGCUUUUAAGAUGGAAACGAUUCAUUCCAUUACUUAAGAAAAAUGGUGAUUUAAAAAGUGAUUUUUAUGAGAAAACUAUAGGUUUGAAUGUCACUAAGACACAAGCAACAAGCUUAAUGUUAACAUUUAUUAGUAAUUAUAGUCAUUUUGAAGAUGUUUUAUAUACAUACUAUGUUUAAUUAUUGGAAAAAGUACAACAAAAACACUGGAGAAUUUAGAAGUGUGCUGUUAAAUUUUAUAGUACAAAUGGAGACAGCUGAACACUGUGUAUGUUUGUUUGUGACUAAUCAAAUAUGCAUUCUCAGAUAUUCUCUUUCCCUGUCUUCCUCUGCACCUUUUCUCACCAACAUCUUGAAAAAACUGAGAGACCUUGAGCAAUGCUGAAAAACUUCAGACACUGAAUGCGCACAUAACCCAGUUCAAAAUACCUGCAAGAAAAGGCUCAGUGAAUCAGGCAAGUUUGUUUUUUUUCUUACUCCUCAAGCCAAUUUUAUACCAAGUGGUGCAGUGCAGAACAUCUGAUGCUGGGUACUACCACAAAGACCAAAAGCUCACUAAAUGACUGGAUCAUUCCCGUCGAGUUAUAGAGAUGAAUCCCAGACUAAUAGUAUCAACGGACAUGUUGGCAGAGCUUUGUCACCACCCUGCUGUGAGAGGGGUUAGUGCCCCACUGCUCCCAAGCAUAUAACCAUGUCUGUAACAUCCGGAUUGUUUUCAAACAUGUUUGAUAUUUUGUUACUGAUUGUGUCUCGGUAGACCAAUGAACUCUCAGUCAACAGAGAGGAAGAGAGAGAUCACACCCAAAACAAAUGUUGAAUUUAUUUUGUCACGUACAUUUUUAGUUUAUAUCAGGCUGAACAUGCAUAUCCAGAAUGCUAAAGCUCACUCAGCCCAUCAUUAGCUAAUCCAAAUUGGCAGCAGUCACGUUUGGCUCACGUUGGCUCCUUAUUCAUCACUGCAGUUCCUGACUAGAAAAAAUGGCAUGCAUGCACAGAAGUUGAUUUUGAGGCCCACUCCAUUUUUAAUACCAAUAAUCUAUAGUUAAGAUAUACAUUUUGGCAACUACACCAAGAAUGCUUAUUGGCUGUCCUAAUCAUGCUUGUCUUGUGUUCUCCCGUUUAGUCUGUGGAGGACAAAUUUGCGUACAUGUUGACAGGAAACAGCUAGCCACAGUUUCUUUUCCCUUGUCCACUUUGUUAUGGAUCACACAACAGCUGCUGUAUGAUAUUUGCAGUUUCGCAGAUUUCAACCGAACCCUACUUCAUAACCAGGGCAGUGUGAAAUUAAAGUGUAAAUUAUUUAUAAAUAUAUUCGCUAGACAAGACAACAAAAGGAAUUUUAGACCAGACACUUUAGGGGUCUGCUCUCAGCUUGUUCAGUGCCGCUAUUCCCCCUUGUUGUGCUACUGGGUUUGGUUGGGGUUGUGUGUGUGUGUGUGUGUGUGUCAGUGUAACAAGGCUUUUUAUUGAUUCAUUGGCGGUUGGUUGAAUCAUUCCUCAGUUCAUCAUUUGUCCCUACAGCAACUUCUUUAAAGAGGAAUUUUACUCAUGAAAAUCAAUUUGCUCUUCACUGGGAAUACUACUCAGCCUGUGAAAACAAUUGUAUAAUGUCUGCUGUAGCUCUGGAGGAGUUUUCUAAAGUCUGAGAAAAUAACCCUGGUGAUGUCAUCUAGGUUAUCUUGACUUGGAUUUAUGCCAUAUUCAUGCCAUAUUGGAGUUUCCGCCUUUUAAAUAGUGUUCAUGUCAACAUCCAAAACAUUACAAGUAGGAAGCUGCAAUAUAUUUGACUUGCAUAAAAUGCAUGGAAAUGCAAACAUGGAUGCCUUGUCUGUCAACCAAAAUUGGUCGUUCAAGGUAAUUUAAUCCAAACAUAAUGGAUAAAGUGCACAACCAUCUCUGCAAUCAUACAACAGUCUUUCCCAUCACUACCUUCCAAUGUUGACCCAUAGUAGGGACUAUAAAUUAGGAUGUUUCGGCCCCUGCUGCUUCAAUUUUGGCCAUUCUUUUUUAAUGUGUCUCUUGCAAGUCCCCCAACUUUUUGACAGUGCAAUGCUAAAUAAAUUGUGGACUAUCCCUUUAAGCUGUGGAGAGCCUAGAGAGGUCAGGCACUACCUUUGUCAACCAGCUUGGUUUCUGGCCUGCUAGCCAGCCUGUACCUCAGCCUGUUACUGUCCGAGCCACUUUCAGGGAGUACCUCCAGAAGGAAGUGUGGCUCCCACCGACGUCGUGCCUCACCGCUGCCCAGCUGCUUGUCCUCACAGCAUCUCCUGUACUGGUUGGGCCUCAACCACCUCCUGGCUCUGCUCCAGUUGGGCCACAACCUCCUGUUCCUGAACUGCUGCUAUCACCAGAUCCUGCUGAGCUGCAGCAUCCACCAGAUCCUGCUGAGCUGCAGCAAUCCCCUACUCCUGAGCUACAGCAACCCGCUAAGCUGCAGCUAUUACCUGUUCCUGAGCUGAUGCAAUCACCAGUUUCUGUAGAGUCACAGCAGUCUCCUGAUCCCCACGAGCUGCAGCAACAUCCAGUUCCUGUUCAGCAUCAGCCUCCGCCUUGCCUUCUGCUCAGAGUACCAGCCACGUCGCCGGUCUCCAAAGUGGAUCAGUCAAUCCAGAGGGCUUCUGUCCUCGUCGCCAGUCUCCUGUCCAACCUCCAGAGGGGUUUGCUUUUGUCGCCAGCCUCCUGAGUUGUUCUACACAUCUGGUCAUCCUCCAGAACUGCUCCACUCCUGACCUCUCCAGACCUGUGCUGCUCUUCUGUCCAGCCCUCAGGCCAUCUGCCUGAGGUCUCCAGUACAGACUGCCCUGCCUUUGGGGUUUAGUUGUUGUUUCCUGUUUUAUUUUGUAAGUGUCUUGUGUAGUUUUACUUCUUGUCUGUUUGCUUUUCCCACCAGUUUUGAUUGUUUGCCCUGCCCUGAUUUAGUUUCACCUGUGUCUCAUUUUCUCCCUUCACCUGAGUGUAUUUAAAUCUGUGUUCUUCCUUUGUGCUUUGCCAGUUUGUCCUCGUUGUCUGUGUCAAGCAUUCCAGCUCUUUCCCCAGUGUUCCUAGUGUUUUUGGACUUUCUUCCUUGGUUGUUGACUUGUUGCUAAUUUUUUGGACUUUUGGAUUUCCUGCCUGCUCCCUUACGGCUUUAUGCUUACCUAUUUAGACUGCCUUUUGAAUUUGAUCUGUGCCUGCCUCAGAAAGUCUGUAAGCUUUUUGUUUCCCCAAUAAAUUGUUGAACUGCUCCUGCUCUGCCAGUGUGUCUGCGUUUGGGUCCAAUCCCCUGCGUUCUUGUGUUACCUGCUUGACGAUACGUGACAGUGAUUUUCUAACAUAAGUGAUCAAAUUGACACAUUAAUUGAAUAUUUUGGUCAUCAGUUCCUUUUAGUUUCAACAAGCAGAAAGUGGAGAUUAUAAAGUCAACAAUGUUUCAUCACUUGUUUAUCCACAUUUACAGUAUUACAGUAUGUCUGUCUAUUAAAAUAAACCCAAAAAAACAUCAUCAGAUCAAAAAAACCUUUUUGUUCUUGCGUCAUUUUUUCUUUUUCUUUUUAAAGCUUUUAUUCCCAAAGCUGAUGCCAAUCUUUCCUUUUUUCUUAAGUUUUGAUUUCAAUGCUAGUGUCCUUGUUUCAUGCCAGAUUUCAUUUUAAAUGCCAACGGCUUCAUACAAUCCCAGUAGCUGCACUGGCAAGUUAAUUAUAAGAUCAUUCUACAAGUUGACAUUAUGACGAGUCAGAGGACAAAUCUGUACAGAAAUCUAGUCAGAGACUUGCUUUAAAGACUUAAGGUUAUUUCAUGGCAUCUGGGAGCCUUUACAGCACUUGACAGAGAAGCCUCAACUGUUUAGGUGGGCUACUAGUUGAUGUACAGGUACAAAAUGUGUCUUUUUCCCCUCUGUGGGUACAUGUGCAGCUCAUAAUGUUAAUUUAAUGUCUAACCCUUUCUUUCCCAUUCCUCACCACCUCUCCAUGUGCAAUCUACAAAUACUUUAAAUCAGUGCUAUUUCUUUCUUUCGUUGGAGCCCUGAUGAUAUUGAAAGAGCAGAAACUGUAACUGACCAGUAACCAUUUAAACACAGUACAUCCUGUGUUUGCUUCUGCAUUACUUGAAUAAAGCAAAUCUAAAAUGUGAUGGUUGUUCACAGCAAAAAAAUAUCCAUCAUUUUGGAUUUCUGUUCAGUCUUUAGCUGCAAACAUCACCUCAUUUUCAAAUCCUGAACCUCCACCUGAACACAACCAGAGCUUGUCACUAUUACCGCCACCUUUUCAGUACCUGAAGGCAAGGAAUAAAAAAAAAUCUUUUUUUAGAUCCAUAAAUUAUUCAUAGAGUAUUACAAAUGCUAGAUACACAGGUUAGGCACAAGCAUGCAGUUUUCACUGACAUAAUUCAGACCUCUAACAGUGUGUGUUUUUUUUCUCUCUCAUCCACUUGGCAGAGAACAUGAGCUGUGUCGUUGCAUAUUUUUUCUUCGGUGGUUUUGAUGACCUGCUUUCAUGAAGAACUU